GAUGAACGCUGGCGGCGUGCCUAAUACAUGCAAGUCGAGCGAACAGACGAGGAGCUUGCUCCUCUGACGUUAGCGGCGGACGGGUGAGUAACACGUGGAUAACCUACCUAUAAGACUGGGAUAACUUCGGGAAACCGGAGCUAAUACCGGAUAAUAUAUUCAACCGCAUGGUUCAAUAGUGACAGACGGUUUUGCUGUCACUUAUAGAUGGAUCCGCGCCGCAUUAGCUAGUUGGUAAGGUAACGGCUUACCAAGGCAACGAUGCGUAGCCGACCUGAGAGGGUGAUCGGCCACACUGGAACUGAGACACGGUCCAGACUCCUACGGGAGGCAGCAGUAGGGAAUCUUCCGCAAUGGGCGAAAGCCUGACGGAGCAACGCCGCGUGAGUGAUGAAGGUCUUCGGAUCGUAAAACUCUGUUAUUAGGGAAGAACAAAUGUGUAAGUAACUAUGCACGUCUUGACGGUACCUAAACAGAAAGCCACGGCUAACUACGUG
rnacentral:rRNA from 1 species